UACGGGGGGAGCAAGCGUUGUUCGGAUUUACUGGGCGUAAAGGGCGCGUAGGCGGUCAGCACAAGUCAGUUGUGAAAUCUCCGGGCUUAACUCGGAAAGGUCAACUGAUACUGUGCGACUAGAGUGCGGAAGGGGCAACUGGAAUUCUCGGUGUAGCGGUGAAAUGCGUAGAUAUCGAGAGGAACACCUGCGGCGAAGGCGGCGAUCUGGGAAGAUACUGACGCUGAGGUGCGAAAGCGUGGGGAGCAAACAGG
rnacentral:rRNA from 1 species